rnacentral:rRNA from 1 species
UACGUAGGGAGCAAGCGUUGUCCGGAUUUAUUGGGCGUAAAGAGCUCGUAGGCGGUUCGGUAAGUCGGGUGUGAAAACUCCAGGCUCAACCUGGAGAUGCCACUCGAUACUGCUGCGACUUGAAUCUGGUAGGGGAGCACGGAAUUCCUGGUGUAGCGGUGAAAUGCGCAGAUAUCAGGAGGAACACCGGUGGCGAAGACGGUGCUCUGGGCCAGUAUUGACGCUGAGGAGCGAAAGCGUGGGGAGCGAACAGG